rnacentral:rRNA from 1 species
UACGGGGGGGGCAAGCGUUGUUCGGAAUUACUGGGCGUAAAGGGCUCGUAGGCGGCCAACUAAGUCAGACGUGAAAUCCCUCGGCUUAACCGGGGGAACUGCAUCUGAUACUGGAUGGCUUGAGUUCGGGAGAGGGAUGCGGAAUUCCAGGUGUAGCGGUGAAAUGCGUAGAUAUCUGGAGGAACACCGAUGGCGAAGGCAGAUCUCUGGGGCCGUAACUGACGCUGAGGAGCGAAAGCAUGGGGAGCGAACAGG